ensembl:lncRNA
UUGCCCUGUACCUGUGGAUGUGCAAUGACAAUAAAGUUGAAUUCUAUUCUAUUCUAUGUUCAAAGUCACUUAAUUCACCUUUCUUCCCCAUUAUGAUGCUCGGUUUUAAUUUCAGCAGGUGAUCUUGACUACGUCCAUAUAUCUGCCAUAAGAGGUUAAACAGGUGUACCUAACAAAGUGUCUAAUGGCCACCCUGCAAACAACUGAAAGCUAAUAAUGUUGCAUCCGGCCAGUAUGGAGAAGAAACAAUUAUAGAGGCUUUGAUGCUGGAUUUUCUUCUUCCUUCCUGGGAUUUUGGUGACCACUUUUCCUGAAGGAGCUGUUGGGAAUCACGUCUUCACGCAUAGAAAAUCCAAAAGUGGAGGAGUGGACAUUGCAAUCGUCUACAUGCUGCUUAUGGAUUACUGAUGACCCGACAAGACAGACUGCAUGUAAGACUGGGCAGUGCUCUGUAUGAUUUGGUGAUGUUCAGUACAGGAGCUCCACAGGAGACUGUGCUGUCUUCCUGCUCUCCUUGCAAACCUCAGAACUUCUUUGUAAC